GACGAACGCUGGCGGCGUGCUUAACACAUGCAAGUCGAACGGAAAGGCGCUGCUUUUGUGGGGUGCUCGAGUGGCGAACGGGUGAGUAACACGCGAGUAACCUGCCCCUGUCUUUGGGAUAACUUCAGGAAACUGGGGCUAAUACCGGAUAGGAGCUCCUGCUGCAUGGUGGGGGUUGGAAAGUUUCGGCGGUUUGGGAUGGACUGGCGGCUUAUCAGCUUGUUGGUGGGGUAGUGGCUUACCAAGGCUUUGACGGGUAGCCGGCCUGGGAGGGUGACCGGCCACCUGGGGCCUGCGGUACGGCCCAGUCUGCUACGUGCGGCAACAGUCGGGAGUCUUGCACAGUGGGCGGAAGCCUGAUGUGACAACGCCGCGUGCGGGAUGACGGCCUUCUGGUUGUAAACCGCUUUCGCCGUUGCCGAAGCGUGAGUGACGGUAAUGAGUAAAGAAGCCCCGGCUAACUACGUG
rnacentral:rRNA from 1 species